rnacentral:rRNA from 1 species
UACAGAGGUGGCAAGCGUUGUUCGGAAUUACUGGGCGUAAAGGGCGCGUAGGCGGCCUUCUAAGUCAGACGUGAAAUCCCCGGCUUAACCUGGGAACUGCGUCUGAUACUGGGAGGCUUGAGUAUGGGAGAGGGAUGUAGAAUUCCAGGUGUAGCGGUGAAAUGCGUAGAUAUCUGGAGGAAUACCGGUGGCGAAGGCGGCAUCCUGGACCGAUACUGACGCUGAGGAGCGAAAGCCAGGGGAGCAAACGGGG